rnacentral:rRNA from 1 species
CCUACGGGCGGCAGCAGUGGGGAAUAUUGGACAAUGGGGGCAACCCUGAUCCAGCCAUGCCGCGUGUGUGCAGAAGGCCCUCGGGUUGUAAAGCACUUUCAGUGAGGAAGAACGCCUGGUGGUUAAUACCCAUCAGGAAAGACAUCACUCACAGAAGAAGCACCGGCUAACUCCGUGCCAGCAGCCGCGGUAAUACGGAGGGUGCGAGCGUUAAUCGGAAUUACUGGGCGUAAAGCGCGCGUAGGUGGCUUGAUAAGCCGGUUGUGAAAGCCCCGGGCUCAACCUGGGAACGGCAUCCGGAACUGUCAAGCUAGAGUGCAGGAGAGGAAGGUAGAAUUCCCGGUGUAGCGGUGAAAUGCGUAGAGAUCGGGAGGAAUACCAGUGGCGAAGGCGGCCUUCUGGACUGACACUGACACUGAGGUGCGAAAGCGUGGGUAGCAAACAGGAUUAGAUACCCUGGUAGUC